rnacentral:lncRNA from 1 species
UUGAUAUUUUUUAUGGUCUUCUUGAUUAUUUGGUUAUUUGGUUCCUCCUGUAUUGUUUAUUUGAUAUUCUGAUUAUUUGGUUAUUCGGUCAUGCUAAACUAUAUCGCUUACUUGGGUGCCGCUUGAAUUAAUCGUUGAUUAUGAAAUGAGAUGUUGGUAUGCAUUGGUGGUUGUUUGGAUGAUAAAAAUCUAUAUAAAUGAAAGGUUGUUGGGUAUCUUGAGAAAUGGUGGACGGGUUUGGUACAUAGAGAACCCUACCAUGAACAUUACCUCAGCGGACGGGGUUGAGAAGUCUCAUACCGUAAGGGUUUUGGAAGAUAUGACUCACCCUCAUAUCGGACAGGGUAUCGAGACAAUGGUGUUUUUGGAGUCCAUUACCGAACGGGAUAUAGGGUCGGCCGAGUUAAUUGUCAAAUUUUAACACUGAAUCUGCGAGUAUAGGGAUAUCCCUAUGGGUACUUAGGGGUCCCAAUAAGUAGCUUAAAGGAAGAAUUGUUAAUCUUAUACAUGAAAAUAAAAUGUCAUUUGGAUAUUUGUCUUCAUAGAUUGAUUUUAGAAAAAAUUGUGAUGGUAAGUAUCAUAUAUAACGUUUUAAAAUU